GUUGAACGCUGGCGGCAGGCCUAAUACAUGCAAGUCGAACGAGGGGCGGAGGGGUGAGUAAUGUAUGGGAAACUGCCUGACGGAGGGGGAUAACGACGGGAAACGGUAGCUAAUACCGCAUACCAUCAGAUGUGGCGAGAUGGGAUUAGAGUGUUGGUGGGGUAACGGCUCACCAAGGCGACGAUCCCUAGCUGGUCUGAGAGGAUGACCAGCCACACUGGAACUGAGACACGGUCCAGACUCCUACGGGAGGCAGCAGUGGGGAAUAUUGCACAAUGGGCGCAAGCCUGAUGCAGCCAUGCCGCGUGUAUGAAGAAGGCCUUCGGGUUGUAAAGUACUUUCAGCGGGGAGGCGUUACCCGCAGAAGAAGCACCGGCUAACUCCGUGCCAGCAGCCGCGGUAAUUC
rnacentral:rRNA from 1 species